UUUAUGCAAAACUGUAAACAUUGUGUAAACAUUCUAGCAGCUGUAUUUGUCUCUGAACUUCCAUAAGAUGCUGAGCUGUGUUUUUUUCUUCUCAAUAAUUCACUAUUAUAUUAUAAGUUAUUAUUCUGUGAUAAUAAAAGCCAUGAACCGGCCUGACAAAAAAACAAAAAAACAAAACUAACAAUGUUUUAGCAUGCAACUGACAACCAGCCUUAUGUGACGUAUAUUAAACAUAGACAACAGUCAUUGUGUAAGCUCAACAAUUUCUUUAUUUUUUUAACUUGAUAAAAAACAAUUAUGUAAAAAGUUAAAUAAAUAUACAUACAUCAAAACCAUACUUUGCUGAUACAAUAAUUGCUUUAUAUUAUUAUAAACAUAUUAUACAACAAUAUCAGAUAUUAAUUCGAAAUACACAAACAUAUUAAUAAAUAAAAAACACAAAUAAAUUGGUUUUAGUUGGUUGGUUUAGUUUCCUCCCUGUCAUCAUGUCGCCUGCCCUGCCCUGCUGUUUGACUGUUUCACACCUUAAUCUCCCUGUUGUGCCCUGUGUUUAGUAUCGUUAAUAAAAUCCCUUUACUGCUCACUCUGCGCCUGAGUCCUCACUCCUGCAAGGACCUGACAAUCUGAGAUAUAUUAAUAAAUAUCUGAUGCAUCCGAGCUUUAUAAUGGCAGUGAAUGGGAUCAAUGAGUAUGAGCUGAAGAAAGUUCUUCCAUCCACAUCCAUCCAUCAUAAACAAACUCCACACGGCUCCGGGGGUUAAUAAAGGCCUUCUGAAGUGAUGCGAUGCGUUUAUGUAAAAAAUAUCCAUUUUUAACAAGUUAUGAAGUAAAAUAUCUAGCUUCCGCCAGACUGUCUUCCGUAUUCAAGAAAGUGUGAAACUCUCGCAGUUUACAAAGCUUACGCUACGUCCUACGCCUUCCCUAUUCAGCUUAGGAAGAAAGUGUAAACUGGUGUGUAUUCUGAUAAAAUAAAUUUGCAAGCAACACAUGAAAGCAAAUAUAUUUUGAUUAUAGAUGUUUCACCACAAUCAUCAACGUUCUAAAAAUCAUAAAACUGACUAUAGGCUAUUGAGCUUCAUCAUUAAUAUUCAUCUAAUAUUCCCCUUAAAUUUUCAGUAUUCACCCCUCUGAUGUCUUCCAAUCUUAGAAACGCACCUGGGUGCAGGUAAUCGCAAUUAAUUACAGAAAAUCUGUGAUUAAUAGUUAUUUUUUAAUUGAUUGACAGCACCGUUCCAGUUGGUGUGAAAAUGGGACUCAUAAUCUGUAAAUGUUUAUUAUGACUAAAUGUCUUUUUAUAUUUUAUUCCUAAAUUUUUAGCACUGUUUCUUGUUGUAUUUAAUUAUUGUAUUUUAAAUUAUUAAACUUAAGUCUGUUGCAGAAAAGUUACUUAAAGUUUUUAAAGGUGAAAUGUCAUAAUUUCCCUUAAGUUCAGAACAUGACCAAUGAUCAGAACAGAACGAAACAAAAAUGUCUUCCUCUUUACUUUAAAAAGUUUUCCUUGCUAUUUUUAAACUCUGUUUUUGUGGUCUGCCCCUCCAACACAUGACCAACAGUAAAUUACCUCAGUAACUCUGUAAAUUACCCUAAAAUAGCCAGAUUGGCAUUAAAACAUGUUCCAGUCUCAACUUCCUGACAUUCAUCACAUAAACAUGUUUCAUACUUCCUCAUAACAUGUAGGGUAUCAUUUAGUUUUUAAUGUCCCAUUCUCAAAUAAGAUAAAAUGAUCCGACUGCAUGAAUUGCUUAGACAUAGUCCUAAAAGUUAGUCAUCUAAUUUAAAGGAUUAGUUCACUUUCAAAUGAAAAUCACCCCAAGCUUUACUCACCUCAAGCCAUCCUAGGUGUAUAUGACUUUCUUCUUUCUGAUGAACACAAUCUGAGUUAUAUUAAUAAAUAUCCUGACGCAUCCGAGCUUUGUAAUGGCAGUGAGCGAGGAUCAACAAGUAUGAGCUGAAGAAAGUUCUUCCAUCCACAUCCAUCCAUCAUAAACGUACUCCACACGGCUCCGGGGGUUAAUAAAGGCCUUCUGAAGGGAAGCGAUGCAUUUGUACGCAAAAAAAUAUCCAUUUUUAACAAGUUAUGAAGUAAAAUAUCUAGCUUCCGCCAGACCGCCUUCCGUAUUCUACUUACAAAGAAAGUGUAAUGCCUCUCACAGUUCGAAAAGCUUUUGCUAUUUCCUACACCUUCCCUAUUCAACUUACGGAAAAAGCCUACCUGACGCGACAACAGUUUAUACUUUCUUCCUAAGUUGAAUACGAAAGGCAGCAGUAGCGUGCACGUUCUUUCCUAGAACAUAAGCUCUAUUAGUAAGAAAAAUGUAAACAUAUAUAUUAUGUUAUAUGUUGUGUAGAAGAUUGUGUAGGCAAACCAAAUCUCCCCAAAUAGGAUACAUAGUAUCCUUGCAAGGUGCAUAAAUUCCAUGUAAAACUUCUAUUUGUUAGCUGCAUUAAGGUUAAUUUGUUUUAUUUGCAGAUAAAGAAUGUGAUGUUCCUCAUACCAAACAGCCAAGUGAAGAAAACCCAAAAAAUACAAGGGUGCAACUUGCAUCACUUAAUGCUGAUGUAAUCAAAACAAGUAUGAUUGACACAUUUGACAGACCAGGAGAUGCCUAUACAGAAAGCAAGUAUGCUCGAGCUGGAACAUAUAAGAUAGCUCCUGAAAACCAACCAGGAAUGAGGAUUCCCAAGACUGGAGCUUAUGCAGAAGCAGGAGUUGGACGAGCUCGUGCUGAAUACAGAGUAUUUGAAGCUGAAGCCAAAGGUCCCAACGCCUCAGCUGGAGCUGAAGCCAGUGUGGUUGGACUCGGAGCAAUGGCUCGAGCUGAAAUUGCCAGUGCAUCAGCUAAAGCCGGUCCAGUUGGUGUGAAAUUAGGACUUGGAGUUGAUACGGGCGCAUCUGCUGGUCUGGGAGGGGUGGAGGUAAAAGUCUUGGGAACUGGAAUCUCAAUUGGUACAGGACUUGGUGUAGCUGUUCUGGGUAACGAAGUAGAAGUAAAUUGUGCAAUCAUGUAUUCAUACAGAUAUUAAUUACUUUCAAAUAUUUGUUAUGUGAAGACAAAAACCUGUUUGUUUGUAUUUGGUUAUGCAGGUGUGUGUAUUGCCUUUCUUUAUACUGUCAUUCCCUGUGAAUAUCUUAUGUGUUCACAAAACUUUCUAGAGAUUUUAGACUUUUGCACAUCAUAUUUUUUCCAUUUAUGCAAUAAACCGAGAACAAAAAAUAUCUUUCUAUAAGAAACAGCUGUAUUUGUCUUUCCAUGAAUUUCCAUUAGAUGCAGCUGUUUAUUUAAUUUUGUUUCAUUAAUUCAUUACUUCAUCAUUAUGGCAAAAGAUAUAAAGAGGCAAAACAUUCUAUAGCUCUUGAUAAGUUAUUAUUCUGUGAUAAAAGCCAUUCCCACAGGUUUCCUAAUGCUAAUGAGAAGCAAUAUGCAAUGUCUAAAUAUCUGCAGAAUUGAACCAGCACUAAAUGGGGUGGACAUUAGUAGUAAAAAACGCACAAAUAAACUAAGACAACAAUUAUAUAAGAAUAGAUCUACCUCAAGGACAUUUUUGGGAUACUUAUAUAUAUAUAUAUAUA